rnacentral:tRNA from 1 species
AAAGGGAGACCUAAUUCAGGUAUGGGACGAAAAAAAAGUAGUCGCUACCAAGAAUCAAUCCCAAAAGGUCGGAGCGAGGCGAAAUUGGCUUUCAAACUAGGUUCUGGGUUCACACAAGACCUGAAUCAGGAACAAGGGCUAUUAGCUCAGGUGGUUAGAGCGCACCCCUGAUAAGGGUGAGGUCCCUGGUUCGAGUCCAGGAUGGCCCACCUGCACAGGUGGCAAAAACAAGAGAAGCUCCGAAUCAGCACCUUAUCUUACUUAUAUAGUAAGAGAGAAUGCUGGCUCUGAGUAAAGAGUCCAGAGGAACCUUGAAAACUGCAUAGAGCUAGGUGAAAAAGCCAAAAAAGAAGACCGCAAG